GACCCCAUGCCGAACCCAGAAGUGAAACGCCGUAGCGCCGAUGGUAGUGUGGGGUCUCCCCAUGCGAGAGUAGGGAACUGCCAGGCA
rnacentral:rRNA from 1 species